AUUAGGCCAGCAUUUCAUACAGUAGUUGAGUAUCUGCUAUAAAAUCUUAAAAAAUUAAAAUUUGGAUCUUGUUUUUUUUUGCUUAGUGCAAAACAUGUGUUUUUGUUUUGGUUGAUUGCAUUUAUAAUAAUGCCUACAACAUGCUAUGUAUCAGGUUGUAAAUCUGGUUAUCGAUCAAAUACGGAUAAGGAGAAACGACAUUUUUUUAAAAGUUAAAAAAGGAAAUUUUACACAAUUAGAAGAAUGGGCAAGACUUAUACUAUGAAAAGAUCAACCAUUAACAUAUUCAAAUAAUAUCUGUGACUUAUUGUGAUAACUGUUAUAUCCAGAAAUCUUAUAAGCAUGGAGUAAAUGUCGAAAUCAACAUGGGUAACUGGAGAUUAUCUGCUGAUGCCAAACCUAUGAUUUUUUAAAUUGUCCAAGCUAUUUGUCAAAAAAUCUUCCAAAACAAAGGUCCUCUCCUUCAACACAAAAGAAUUGUAUCGGCGAAAGAUGUUCCAAGAAGAGAGAAAUGGAUGCAUACUGAUAAAAGCAGUGAGUUUGAUGCUGGAUCAGAAAUUGAGCAUGGAAGCCUAUCUGCAGCUACAACACUAUCAUCACUCAUUAUUAUUAAAUAAAUUGCCUCUUCUUCCCUGCAGUUUACUUACUGAUAUAAAAUCAAAUGGUGAAUUAUUUUAUCCAACUUUGCAGUUAUU
rnacentral:lncRNA from 1 species